AACAAACUUCAACUUAGAAUGAUUUUCUCUUUUUCAUUACAGACUGACUUCAGCUUGUACCAAGCAAUACUCUCAUUUGUGAAUGUCGGAGGAGUACACUGGAAACUACUGGUCAGUGAUUCAAGGCUGCCGGUCUGAAAUCCGUUUUUGUUACUGUAUGUGAUGUCGUUUUAAAUAACAUUUAUAUUUUAGUACAUAAUUCUUGCCACAUGCUCAGUCUUUUUGGUGGAUCCAAUGGAGAAUAAAGCCGAGGAAGCGGAGUCCAAAAAUGCUGCAAAAAGAAUAGGUGAAUUCCUGAAGAUGAGAGAAAUCUGCCACGCAAAGAAUGACUGGGGGACUAUAAAGUGGAAAGGAGCCACCAUGCCCCAUCCUCUUCAACAGGACAGCAGUAGUUGUGGGGUCAUCGUCAGCAUGAUGGCGAAGGCAGUGAUGGAGGCAUUUCCAGCAUUGCCACUCAUGUCCUUUGAGACAUCCAAGAAGGAGAUGGCUAAUGCGAGGACUAAGUUUGCACUUGGAUUACUCAGUGG